AUGGGCAAGGCGAAGGGAAAGCAGCUGCAGGACGAGUACUACCACCUCGCCAAGGACAUCACCACCACCAGGUGCCGCUCCGCCACGCGGAGGCUCAUCGACACCUUCGACGUCGUCCUCCACGACGGCUCGCCCAACGUCGGCAGCGCAUGGGCGCAGGAGGCCACCGCGCAGUCCGCACUCGUCAUCGACGCCGUUCGCCUGGCCACCAUGUUCCUCGCCCCCAAUGGCACCUUCGUCACCAUUCACCAAGGUCUUCAGAACCACGACCUCACCACAGAUGAGGUCAAAUACCUUUGCGAGGAUUUGCAGGUGCUGGAUAAAAAUAGUUUCAAGCAUAUCUUGGAGUGGCGCACACGCGUAAGGAAAGCCCUGCCGUCAUCUUCGCAAGUUACACCACAGGAUGAUGGUGCCGCGACGGACACCAAGGUCAAAGAUGAUGUUCAGCUUUUACAGGAAAUGGAAGAAAUGGAUUCUGAUGAAGAACACCAACUGGAGGAGAUGCUUGAUGAAGCUUAUGAGCGUUAUGUGACCAAAAUGGGUGAAGAAGUAAAACAAGAACACAAACGUGCCAAGCGAAUCGAUCCUGAUGCUAAUGCAGGUUUGUUAGAGAGAGGUGAAGAUGAUGGUGGCAACGUUGGCAUCGAUCAAGGUUCUGACAAAGAUCAAGGCCAAGAGACCAACCCCCUUUUAUUAUGUCUAGAUACAGAGAAGCCAGCGGAAGAGCAAGAUGUUAAAGCAGUGGUUCAGUCAGGAUAUGUUCACAGAAGAAGGAAGAAGGGGAAAGGUGGCAAAGGAGGCGCCAAAGGGGGGAAAGGGAUGAAGGGUUCCGCCGGCCAGAAGAAAUGA
rnacentral:rRNA from 1 species